rnacentral:rRNA from 1 species
GUAGAGCUAAUUAAUGGAUAACUUGGCUUGUAGACCGAUGAAGAGCGUGGCAAGCUGCGAUAAGCUUGGGGGAGAUGCAUGCAAUCUUUGAUCCCAAGAUGCUCGAAUUGUCCAAGGCGAAAGCUUUGGGUGGUAACCUAGGGAACUGAAGCAUCUUAGUACCUAGAGGAAGAGAAAACAAUAGUGAUACCGUGACUAAGAUCGACCGAAAGCGGUAGAGAACAAACCGAAUCCUUUAUAGUGAUGUAAAGGAGAUGUGGGGUUGUGUGACUUAUUUACUUCUUGAAAACAAAAUCGAAGAUAGCUGGAAAGCUAUACUACAGAGGGUGAUAGUCCCGUAGAUAUAAGUAUUUUGAGAAGAUUUUUGAGUAUCACGAGUACUGCGCGUUGGAUAUCGCGUAGGAAGCUUUGCAGGCACUUACUGCAAAUUCUAAAUAUACUACAAGACCGAUAGAGAAUGAGUACCGUGAGGGAAAGUUGAAAAGUUCUCCUAACGGAGGGUAAAAAGCACUUGAAAUUAAUUAGCUACAGUUCGGGUGUGGCCUGAAAGUGUUGAAGGAGAGACGUGAGCGAUUGUGGGUAACUGCAAAAGCGAGUUUUUCUGGAACAGGGUUACACUAUCCGUCACGAAGCACGGGCGAGGGAGUAUUUCUGAGUGGCAAGGCUUAAGUGAGUCAUUCACAGAGCCGAAGGGAAACCGAUUUUACGCAGAUCUUUGGAUUCAGGUAAUUGGUGUUAACUGCGCCAUUAGUCACUUGGAAAUAACCCGAAACCAGAUGAUAAAUUCCUGAGCAGGAUGAAGGCAGCCGACUGGUUGCUGGAGGUCCGUAGUGGUUCUAGUCUAACUGUUCAUGUGACUUGGGAAUAGUACUGAGAGAGUAAUCUAAUCUGGUGCUAGCGGGUUCCUAUCGAAAUAUCCCUAAGGAUAGCCUAGCUGGAGAUAGAUAAUAUGGUAGAGAUACUGAUUAGAAAGUAUCGGGAAGAAAUUCUCGGCUUUCUUGUCAAACUCCGAAUGUAUUAUCGUCGUUGAAGGCUGGAGUUGGGGUGGUCGGGUAAGCUGAUCUUCCUAAAGGGGAAAAACCCAGACUGUGAUUAAGGUCCUUAAGUACUAGCUAAGUGUUAACUGGAAGGGAGUGUUUAUCCUAAGACAAUUGGGAGGUUGGCUUAGAAGCAGCCACCCUUUAAAGAGUGCGUAAUAGCUCACCAAUCUAGGAUAGAUGCCUUGAAAAUUAACGGGGCUAAGCUAGUCACCGAUAUCAUAGAACACAUGUUAAUGUGAUUUGAUAGAUAGGUGCUUUGGUAGAGUAGAAGUUGGGGCGUAAGUUCCGGUGGAUCUGCCAAAGAUAUGGAUCCUCGCGAUAGUAACAUCAAAGAAAAGUGAGAAUCUUUUCCGCCGAAGGGGCAAGGGUUUCUUAGCACUAAUCUUUAGCUAAGAGUAAGUCGAUCCUAAGAUCUUUCGUAAGACGACGAGAUCGAAAGGGAAACAGGUUCAUAUUCCUGUACUGAUAAAACACGUGUGGUAACGCAAGUAUAGUUUUUAACGUUUUUGGCAAGGUAGAGUGUGCUUGUCUUGCACAUCUAAAUACUACAGAUCUGUGGAGAAUCAUAAUGAUGAGAAGCAGAUUAAAGGUAUGAAGGGGAGAAAUCUUCUAUCGAGGCCAAGGACCCCUGAAAAGAAAACUAUGCAGUGUUUUAUUAAUCGUACCAAGAACCGAGAAAGGUGUCCCUAGCUGAAUAGGCUCAGGCGUAAUAGGAUAAUUAAACUUAGGGAAUUCGGCAACAUUGGCCCCGUAUCUUAGGUAUGAGGGGUGCUUACGGUUGAGUAAACUGUAAGUCUUAGUAACAAGGAUAGUCCGACUGUUUAUCAAAAACACAGGUGACUGCUAGCCGGAAACGGUGCGUAUAGUCACUGACCUCUGCUCACUGCUAGUACGUGAACACCAGGUCCAACUGGUCUAAGCGCUGGUAAAGAGCGGGCCUAACUCUGAGGCUCUCAUGGUAGCGUAAUACCUUGCCGGUUAAUUGCCGGCUUGCACCAAGGAAGUAACGAGAUUAUCGCUGUCCCAAGUUUAAGCCUAGUGAACUUGCACACGUGGUGAAUACGCCACGAACUGUCAAUGGGAGGAUAAGACCCCAUGGAGGUUUACUACAGUCUGAUGUGGUUGUAUUCUUUCUACUAUAGAGCGUAGAUGGGAGUCGCUUAUGUUAUCCUCGCUAGGGGGUAAAUAGACAACAAUGUAACACCAUCUAGUAGAAAAAAUACAACUCUACGUUGAAUAAACGGACAGCAUUUGAUUUGGUAGUUUGACUGGGGCGGUACACCCCUGAAAGAAUAUCAGGGGUGUCCAAAGGUGUGCUCAAGCAGGUCAGAAAUCUGCUGUAGAGGACAAGACCAAAAGCACGCUUAACAGUGUUUCUCAAAGCACGAAACGCUGGAUAGAAAUAUGGGUCUAGCGAACGCUAGUGUCCCUAUUAGUGGGGGCCUAGUCUGACAGUAAACUUACCCUGGGGGUAACUGAGUCGUCGCGGGCAAGAGUUCACAUCGACCCCGCGGUUUGCUACCUCGCUGUCGGCUCACGGCAUCCUGGCUGGGCAUAAAUAGCCAAGGGUGGAGGUGUUCACUCAUUAAAGCCGUACGUUAGUUGGGUUAAGAACGAUGCGAGUCAGUUUGGUUCCUAUCUAUUGGCAGCGUAGGUUGUCUGAAGGGAAGAUGCGUUUAGUACGAGAGGAACGGCGCGUCGCGGUCUCUGGUGUACCGAUUGUCUGACAAGGCACUGUCGGGUAGCUACGCCGUAAUUGAUAAGAGCUGAAAGCAUCUAAGCUCGAAGCGAUCCCUAAGACGAGACAGCCAUUUCUGUAGAGAUACAGGACGAGGACUCCGGAAGAACACCGGUUUGAUAGGUCAGUAAUGUAAGGCGGGAGCAAGCAAUUGCGACUGUUUAAGUUUUCUGAUACUAAGGGUCCAAGUAAAAACC